rnacentral:sRNA from 1 species
GCCAGGCAUGGUGGCUCAUGCCUGUAAUCCUAGCACUUGGGAGGCUGAGGCGGGCGGAUCAUCUGAGGUCAGGAGUUCGAGACCAGCAUGACCAACAUGGUGAAAACCCGUCUCUA